rnacentral:rRNA from 1 species
CAUUACCGAGUUUACAACUCCCAAACCCCUGUGAACAUACCUAUACGUUGCCUCGGCGGAUCAGCCCGCGCCCUGUAAAAAGGGACGGCCCGCCCGAGGACCCUAAACUCUGUUUUUAGUGGAACUUCUGAGUAAAACAAACAAAUAAAUCAAAACUUUCAACAACGGAUCUCUUGGUUCUGGCAUCGAUGAAGAACGCAGCAAAAUGCGAUAAGUAAUGUGAAUUGCAGAAUUCAGUGAAUCAUCGAAUCUUUGAACGCACAUUGCGCCCGCCAGUAUUCUGGCGGGCAUGCCUGUUCGAGCGUCAUUUCAACCCUCAAGCUCAGCUUGGUGUUGGGACUCGCGGUAACCCGCGUUCCCCAAAUCGAUUGGCGGUCACGUCGAGCUUCCAUAGCGUAGUAAUCAUACACCUCGUUACUGGUAAUCGUCGCGGCCACGCCGUAAAACCCCAACUUCUGAAUGUUGACCUCGGAUCAGGUAGGAAUACCCGCUGAACUUA